CUCCUUUAUAAGCAGCUUGCCGGCGAGAGGCGCUAGUUGCAAAGUUUCCGGUUCCGGGGAGGGUGUGACUUCGCGACCAUUUGAAAGUUACGGCGCGAGGGUCUCUGGGUGCUUUCGCCUCAGAGGGUACUGAAAUUGUUAGUGUUCUAGGGUGUGGGUCUCUUGGGUCGUAAGAGCAAGGCUUGGUGUGAGGUGUACUGCCCGGUGAUUCCCGCACUGUCCUGGGACGCAUGCAGAGUCCGUAGGUUACGACAGGUCCUUACAGCGUCACAGGUGGCUUCCUGUUUGAAGGGCUCUCCGAUGAGGAGGAUGACUUUCACCCAGUAAGUGGCCCGGCUGCGUGCCAGUUGGGGGAGAUGGUGCCGGGGAUGCAGCCCUCCCUGGGACCCGGCAUGCCCCCUCAGGGAGGUGGUCCGAGGCCCUUUGGUGGCCCAGCUGUGUCCUGCUCUUGCUUUCUGAACCUGGCGGCUUGGGGAGUGUCCCCAAGAACGGUUCCUGGAACGGGCUGGGGUUCAUCUGGGCUGUCCCAGGGCUGCUCCCUGAUCUGGGUGCCUCCCUUGUCCAGAGUGCCAGGUCCACGCCCUCGAGCAGCACGUCCAGCUCCCGCCCAGCUUCCCUGGGGUACAGUGGAGCCGCCGGACCCCGGCCCAUCACUCAGAGCGAGCUGGCCACGGCCCUGGCCCUGGCCAGCACUCCGGAGAGCAGCUCUCACACGCCAACUCCUGGCACCCAGGGCCAUUCCUCUGGGACCUCCCCAAUGUCCUCAGGCGUCCAGUCAGGGACGCCCAUCACCAACGAUCUGUUCAGCCAAGCCCUACAGCAUGCGCUGCAGGCCUCCGGGCAGCCCAGCCUUCAGGUCAGUCUUCCCACUCCUGGUGUCCACGCGGCUCUUUGUCACCUUGGACACUGAGCUUUUUGUGCUCUGUGGAGGCCCUUCCCACUUGGCCUGCUUUGCUCCAGGACAGCUGGGCCGUGACAGUGUGACAGGAGAGGAUGCCCGCAGCAAGGGCGGUUGUCCCUGUGGCUUCCACUCCUGCACCCAGUGA
rnacentral:lncRNA from 1 species